AUGACGUCUACCGUGUCGCCAGUGCGUGGAUGCUCUUGGCACCCCUAGCAAGCAGGCGGCACAGUCCUCUUUCAACCAAAUGCACUAGAGCUGGGGGAGGGCAGCAAAUUGCCCAGGUCCGAGGUAGAGCACAGUCGGGUGAGCCAUCUCCACCCCACCACGGAUGGGGGAAGCAACAGGACGGGUGACUUGGGGGGGAAGGGACAGGACGGGUGAUGGGGGGAAAGGACAGGACGGGGUGACUUGGAGAAGGGACAGGACAAGGUGACUUGGGGAAGGGACAAGACGGGGUGACUUGGGGGGCUGGGCUGAGCCGCAGGAGGCUUGCUCCCCACCCACCUCCCUUCCUGUUGUCAGGGGCCUCCCCAUACCCUGGGGUGCAGAUCAAUGAGGAGUUCUGUCAGCAGCUGAGAGACGGCACAAGGAUGAGGGCCCCGGAGCUGGCCACUCCCGCCAUACGCCGCAUCAUGCUGAACUGCUGGUCCGGAGACCCCAAGGCGAGACCUGCAUUCUCGGAGCUGGUGGAGAUCCUGGGGGACCUGCUCCAGGGCAGGGGUCUGCAAGUGAGCCCCUUCCCCACCCUGUUCUACUACGGCCUUUGGCCCCUGCCCUGGGUCCCUGGCCCCAACUGCCCCUCUAAGCCCCUCUAAGCCCCUCUAGGCUCUGCCCACCUCUC
rnacentral:sRNA from 1 species